rnacentral:rRNA from 1 species
AGCUCGACACCUACGGGAGACAGCAGUGGGGAAUAUUGGGCAAUGGGCGCAAGCCUGACCCAGCAACGCCGCGUGAAGGAAGAAGGCCCUCGGGUUGUAAACUUCUUUUGUCAGGGACGAAGCAAGUGACGGUACCUGACGAAUAAGCCACGGCUAACUACGUGCCAACACGCCGCGGUAAUCUGAGGCGGGCGUGGCAAGGC